UCUCUGCAGGAUUUGGCUUGAGCUCCUCUGCAGGAAUCAGUUCGUGCCAGUGGAAGUAAAUAGGCCCUUGGGGAUGCUGCUGCUGCCACUGAGCCUUCUUCUGUUUGCUGUUUCCCAUACAUGCCAAGCCCCAGUCUGUUACUCACUCCUUGAGAAGCACACAUCUGCCUGGCCAGAUAAGAACCUGUCACUACAGCAGAUUUCACACCAGGGCAGUUUUCCCAAACCAAUGCUCUUUCACAGGUCAGUGGCUUAUUUCAGGACUCCCCUUCACUCACCAGCAUCAACUACAGCUCCUGCUUAAAUGAGCUAUGCAUCUACGAGUGGAGCUGUCAUUCUGCCUCCCAAGUACCUCUUCUGGAAGAGAUCUUAAAAUGUAUUGUUUCAUGUGAAAAAGCAUUCAUUGCUUUGCUCCCAGCUGCAGCUGAUGUAGUAGGAGAGAGCUGCCCACCCUUAGUUUACAGACCAGUUUGGCCACACAGCUUGUUAGGUAAAGACAGGCCAGCACACUCAGACUGGUGCCAGGAAUAUUGCUGCUGAUUGUGCUCACCAAACCAUGCUAUGUCAGCUGCAUCCAUGUCAGAGGAGUAUGUGCAAGACCAGUUACAGCUAAUAAGCCUCUAUCUGAGGGAAAAAAUGAGACCAGAGUGAGAUUUAUGACAAUUUCAAGCACAGAAUAAGCAGUAUGAACAGAUGAGCCUCAAAGAAUGGUAAGGUCCUCUUUACAUACAAAUAUUUGGGGGGGGGAGGGGAGGGAAGGUGGAAUAAAAUCAGAAAAUAAUAGAAUGAAUUAUAGCAAAUACUCUUUCUAAGUAAAGUCGUUUUGCAUUUCCCAUGGGAGUCAGUUGAAUGAGAGAAGACAAAAAAAAAGGAAGAGUAGAAACUGCUUGCAACACAGAACAAACCUUGAGUGCCAAGAACAUGCUCCAGAUUUUUCUAAAGAUGCCUGGCUCUUAUCUCAGCCUUGAUUCAUCACAGUUUACUCCCAGAAUUGUUCAGAAUUCAAGGACCUUGCUCCUGUGGGGUUAAUGGGUUACAUUCAGCAUUGAAACCCAUGACACAAAUAGCUGCUUAAUUAUUCACUCCAAGAUGGUUUUAGUGGCUAAUCUAAAC